rnacentral:tRNA from 1 species
GGCCCCUUGGUGGAAUGGUAGACACAGCAGACUUAAAAUCUGCGGCUUUCGGGCGUCCCGGUUCGAGUCCGGGAGGGGCCA